CCGAAAGGCAGGAGUGCCUGCAAGGGAGCGCGGAGACAGGUGGUGCAUGGCUGUCGUCAGCUCGUGUCAUGAGAUGUUGGGUUAAGUCCCGCAACGAGCGCAACCCUCACCUCUUGUUGCCAUCAGGUCAUGCUGGGCACUCUAGAGGAACUGCCCCGGUCAACGGGGAGGAAGGCGGGGAUGACGUCAAGUCAUCAUGCCCCUUACGUCCUGGGCUACACACGUGCUACAAUGGCCGGUACAAAGGGAUGCCACACCGCGAGGUAGAGCUAAACCCAAAAAGCCGGUCUAAGUUCGGAUUGGAGUCUGCAACUCGACUCCAUGAAGGAGGAAUCGCUAGUAAUCGCGUAUCAGCACGACGCGGUGAAUACGUUCCCGGGCCUUGUACACACCGCCCGUCACACCACGAAAGCCAG
rnacentral:rRNA from 1 species